UUGAGCCAAAUUCCUAUGGG
rnacentral:misc_RNA from 1 species